AGCUAGCAUUGAAAAUCACUUUUUCUCUAAGAAGGUUUUGGAGAAUUUUCUCAUAACCAGUAUGUGUGGAUAACCAUCAGAGGCAGGACAUCUAAACGAUUGGUCCUUUGCUAAAACCCGGCCUGGUGUUAAGAAACUCCUCAAGCAAAUUUAAGGAGCUGCACAGAAUAGGAAGCACCUAAUCCUUGGACUGAAAGUCCUCUCAAAAUGGAGGUAAAGAGUGUGCUUGAUCCUUUUGAGGAUGAAAAUAAUGAUAUGGACGGAGAUGAAGUGAGCUUAGGAGCUGAUUCUCUGCAGAAAGACUAUCCUUCUGAAUCUGAUAGUGAGGAAGUUAUCGUAUUCCUCUUAAUUUUAUGCUUUAGCUGCCCCUCAAGGAUUCAACUGAGCUUGGAUAUGAUGUGUAAUACAAUGAUUUAACGUAUUUAUACUAAAUUUCCAAAUUUUUUUUUGUUAAUUUCAGGUUGAUCAAUCGCCAGAAAAUCAAAAUGCAGUUACACCAGUGGAAAAGUAACGACCAGAGGAAGACAAUGACAUGAUUCAUGAAGGUCACAUUUCAAAUUGAAUAGAAUACACAGAACAGUCUUCACAUCAUGAUGAGUCAGGCACACAAAUUUCAGAAGGACAAGAAUAUCAAAUCUUGGGUAGAUAGAAAAACUGAAUUUCUAUUUAUUUCACGGGAGGAAUAUAGAAUAUCCUUUCAAUAUCAUCAUAAUGAAGAAUGCACUCUUCAAGUA